rnacentral:rRNA from 1 species
GACGAACGCUGGCGGCGUGCCUAAUACAUGCAAGUUGAGCGAUGAAGAUUGGUGCUUGCACCAAUUUGAAGAGCAGCGAACGGGUGAGUAACGCGUGGGGAAUCUGCCUUUGAGCGGGGGACAACAUUUGGAAACGAAUGCUAAUACCGCAUAACAACUUUAAACAUAAGUUUUAAGUUUGAAAGAUGCAAUUGCAUCACUCAAAGAUGAUCCCGCGUUGUACUAGCUAGUUGGUGAGGUAAAGGCUCACCAAGGCGAUGAUACAUAGCCGACCUGAGAGGGUGAUCGGCCACCUUGGGACUGAGACAAGGCCCAAACUCCUACGGGAGGCAGCAGUAGGGAAUCUUCGGCAAUGGACGAAAGUCUGACCGAGCAACGCCGCGUGAGUGAAGAAGGUUUUCGGAUCGGAAAACUCUGUUGGUAGAGAAGAACGUUGGUGAGAGUGGAAAGCUCAUCAAGUGACGGUAACUACCCAGAAAGGGACGGCUAACUACGUG